AGAAAAUUGAAUCAGCUGUGGUAAGCACUUCACAGCGUCCUUCUUUUUUUGUGCUUUUUCGAUGUGAAAUAUUUCACUUAAUGAGUUUAUAUGUAUACUUAGUUUUAAAAAUGCUAGAAUCGGGACAUGCAAAAAAAUUUCACUGCCCUCUUUUGAACUAGCCUUUCUGUUCAUAGGAAUUCGACAAGUCUUUGUUUUCUUACAGCAAAAUGGUGCCUUCUGCAGUUAAGAAAGUAACUGAAAACAAAGGGUCAAGCUGGCCACCAUCUUUCAUGCAAUCGGACAGCAAAUCACAUCGGUUGAUCUUAUCGAUGGAUUGAGCUAUGCCAUGGUGCAUACACGCUCAGUUUUUGCUGAAUUGAACAUAAUCGAGUUUAGCAAACCAAAUGCUUGAUGAAAUGUUCCGAAGCAUUUUAGUAUAUUUUUUUUCUGCCGUCUUAUAUGCAUAUUUAGACGCCCAGGCGGAAGUGGAGGUUUGAAUCUCAUAUGUGAAAUGCAUCAGGCCUGAGCCAGACUCCGGUAAACAAUCAAAUAGUAAGAUCAAAGCUUACUUGAAGCUAAUAUCUCAGCUUGUUUAGGCCUUCAGUAUAUACACG
rnacentral:lncRNA from 1 species